UGCAAUUUGAUGAUACAAUUCUAUAUACAUGGGGAAUCUGGAAUGACAAGAUGACAUUCUGUUAUAGCACCCUGAGGUGACUAAUAAAAUCAUAGGAAGUCAAGAAAAACAAUUCUGUCAUUCAUCAAGAUUCUGUCUGACUACACUGUUUGCUGUUGAGAAAACUCGAAAUUGCCAGCAUGGUUUUCCAUUCUCACUCCAUAUUCAGAGGCUAUUUACCAGGUCGAUAAAAAAAGGCGUGGAAAACAAUGAAGUAUGACCUAGGAAGUUAUGAUGCUUUUUUCUUUUUAAGGAGUGUGAAGGUUCCUAGCUACAUCAUUGUUUAAAUAAAUAACUAAGGAAUAAAGUGGUGAAAUAACCAAAGGUUUAGCAAGAAAGCAAGGGUAGAGCGGUGUGUGUGAGCGGGGAUUCUGUGCUGUUAGUGGGGUGCGGGGUUUCCUCUGUA